rnacentral:lncRNA from 1 species
CGUCCCUUCAGUUUCACCGGCGGCGAGCGGCUUGCUGCACCCGCGCUUUACGUCAUGGCUCCGCCUGUCACUUGUCGUCAGCGUCUGGACGCUGACACCAGUGUGGAGGAGCCCAAGAGAGGCCUGUCUUUGGAGCACGUGGACAUGGGAUGCAUGAGCACUGCUAUUCAGAGUCCUCCCUGAAGCAACUCAAGGCCUCCAGGACUGGGAAAGUAAGUUAUUCUUGCAUUGUCUUUGAUAUUUGAUUUAAACAUACCAUGUGGGUUUUAAUCUUUUGCCAGCUUUAAGGAUCGCUCAGCUCUCAGGCUGUG